CACACAUUUCAGGUUUUUUUUUACUCUUAUAAGACUUGGGCACCACCUAAGCCCAAGCCCAGUGACCACACCACGUAAGCCCACCAACAACCCAGGAAAAUGGCCACAUGUCAAGGAGGGCUGCUGAGUUUGAGAGAGUCUUAGUGUCCAACAGAGAAGACCCGGGACUAUGCUGUAAAGGAGAAAAUUACAAGGAGGCCUGGAUCUGGGAAACUUAAAUCUACUAGUGAAUCAGAUGGGCCAUGCCGAUCCAUCUUAAGGCAGUCAGAGCUGCUAAAAUAAUGAAAAAAAAAAAAAAAAGAUCUGUCUGCGUCAGUGCAUUAGUGCAGAUGAAGGUGGACAAACAUAUUUUUCCCAUGGAGGAGGUCCAAAAAGUGUACUUCACCAGCAAAUUCAAUGAUGUGGACAAGCUAGGAAAACAAGAGGUGUAAUUCAUUUCACAAUUCUCACCCACACACACACACAAAGACAUAGGACACAUCCAAGCACCCAAUACUGCCAUAAUUAAAUGCAUAGUGAAUGAUUAUGAAUUAGAUUUUUCAUUAUGUAUGUAUGGAGUUUAUAUAUAUAGAUU